UCCAAGGCUAAAUACUCCUGACUGACCGAUAGUGAACCAGUACCGUGAGGGAAAGGCGAAAAGAACCCCGGCGAGGGGAGUGAAAAAGAACCUGAAACCGUGUACGUACAAGCAGUGGGAGCCUCUUUAUGGGGUGACUGCGUACCUUUUGUAUAAUGGGUCAGCGACUUAUAUUCUGUAGCAAGGUUAACCGAAUAGGGGAGCCGAAGGGAAACCGAGUCUUAACUGGGCGUUAAGUUGCAGGGUAUAGACCCGAAACCCGGUGAUCUAGCCAUGGGCAGGUUGAAGGUUGGGUAACACUAACUGGAGGACCGAACCGACUAAUGUUGAAAAAUUAGCGGAUGACUUGUGGCUGGGGGUGAAAGGCCAAUCAAACCGGGAGAUAGCUGGUUCUCCCCGAAAGCUAUUUAGGUAGCGCCUCGUGAAUUCAUCUCCGGGGGUAGAGCACUGUUUCGGCAAGGGGGUCAUCCCGACUUACCAACCCGAUGCAAACUGCGAAUACCGGAGAAUGUUAUCACGGGAGACACACGGCGGGUGCUAACGUCCGUCGUGAAGAGGGAAACAACCCAGACCGCCAGCUAAGGUCCCAAAGUCAUGGUUAAGUGGGAAACGAUGUGGGAAGGCCCAGACAGCCAGGAUGUUGGCUUAGAAGCAGCCAUCAUUUAAAGAAAGCGUAAUAGCUCACUGGUCGAGUCGGCCUGCGCGGAAGAUGUAACGGGGCUAAACCAUGCACCGAAGCUGCGGCAGCGAC
rnacentral:rRNA from 1 species